rnacentral:rRNA from 1 species
UACGUAGGGAGCAAGCGUUGUCCGGAAUCAUUGGGCGUAAAGCGCGCGUAGGCGGCCCUGUAAGUCCGUUGUGAAAGUCAAAGGCUCAACCUUUGAAAGCCGAUGGAUACUGCAGGGCUAGAGUCCGGAAGAGGCGAGUGGAAUUCCUGGUGUAGCGGUGGAAUGCGCAGAUAUCGGGAGGAACACCAAUGGCGAAGGCAGCUCGCUGGGACGGUACUGACGCUGAGACGCGAAAGCGUGGGGAGCAAACAGG